rnacentral:misc_RNA from 1 species
UUACAAGGUUCAUACAUUUCUAUUCUUGCAUGACAAAUUUCUCCGGAACAUGUACCAGGAGAGGCAGAAACGAUAGAAAUCGUCUCAAACUCUGUCCUGACACAUUAUUAACAUGCCUAUCUAGACAACAUGCUCUGUGAUAUGUCUUUCUUUUAUUUUUUUCAGCAACUCAGUAUACAGAUGGUGACUAAUCAGUGGUAUUUCUCUGUUUGCCUGAUGAGACUAUUCUAACAGGAAUAACAGUUCUUCCAUCCUUGCCCAUAUAUGCAGCUUCCGAAGCAGUAGCAGACCAAAGCAGGUUGUACGCCAACUGCUGUUCACUUAAUCUUCUAUUCUCGGUAGAUGAUGAAUGCUUCUAUAUCCCAAGUGUCUUGGAACCCUCCUUAUCUAAAGGGCUUUUUGA